CCGUCGCGCAGCGUCGUGCACUCUUCCAUCCUUCAUUCUCGAGCUUUCUUGUUCUUUCGCACCGCGUUUCACAGGUCGUUAGAUACCACGGAUCUCUUGAGAAAAUUACAGAAACCCACGUGGCAAGAAAAGUGGAUAUUUGGAAAAGGUUGAGCAGCUGACAGUCAACUGUGUAUUCGAAAUAUACAACAUACGUUUUAGAAAAUGACACGUAAAAGAAAAAGUAACGACUGCUAUUCAAAUAGACAU
rnacentral:lncRNA from 1 species